CCCUCCCUCACUCACUCACUCACUCUCUCCCUCACUCUCUCUCUCCCUCACUCUCUCUCUUGUUCCUUACUAUGAGAUACUCUGACUGUUCCUGUUUUGAGGAAGUGCUUUGGAGCUGAGAGGAAUAACUGCUUUAUAUGGAAGAGAGAACAGCUUCUCUACUGCGGAGAAUUGGUUCAAAAUGUAGCUUAAUCCGAUUACUAAUCUGGGAGAAUAUGAAACAACGGGGGACGUUGGGAGUUGCAGCGAUGGGACAAGACUGUAACUACCAAUUGGAGGGGGAAAAAAGGGCUGGUGAUCAGAGUGCACCUGUCAGAUGAGAGCUCUAAAACCAUGAUGGUGGACGAGAGACAGACUGUCAGACAGGUUCUGGACAGCUUGUUGGACAAGUCCCACUGUGGCUACAGUCCUGACUGGUCCCUGGUCGAGACCAUCAGCGAACUACAGAUGGAACGUAUCUUUGAGGACCAUGAGAACCUGGUGGAUAGCCUUCUGAACUGGAC